GGGGAUGUGGCGAAAUUGGCAUACGCACAGGACUUAAAAUCCUGAGUCGGGCAACCGACGUGAGGGUUCAAGCCCCUCCAUCCCCACCA
rnacentral:tRNA from 1 species